AGCUGAAAAACUUCGAAAUUCCUCUUCCAUUUGCUUGUUUGAUGCUUAGUUUUGCAUCUUGAAAGGAAAGCUAAGCCAGGAAAUGUCGAAGAAGAAACUAUGGAGCCACACAUCGCUAGGGAGGGGGAGUCGGACGCCUAGCCUACCCUUAGUCAGUGUUGGGUCUAUAUAUGAUGUUGGGAAUUUUAUUUUGGUUGGUUUGUAAAACUGUUGUGACAUGUAUUUUUAAGACAAAAUAUUUUGUGAACCGGGUAGAUGUGUCUACCUGGAUGAUGGCUGUAGUUCAGCUUGUAAUUAACGGGACCGUCCUAUGAUUUGAUAAACAUGUUAUUUUGGAACUUUGAAAUAUGAUAGAAAGGGGGAAGGUCCAUUUU